rnacentral:rRNA from 1 species
GAUGAAUGCUGGCGGCGUGGAUGAGGCAUGCAAGUCGAAUGGGUUUAGGCCCAUGGCAGACGAGGUAGGAACACGUAGGUAUGUACCCCGAAGUCAGGGAUAAUCCGUCGAAAGACGGGAUAAUACUUGAUGGUCACGAAAGUGUAAAGAUUUAUCGCUUCGGGAACGGCCUGCGGGCUAUCAGCUAGUUGGUAAGGUAACGGCUUACCAAGGCUACGACGGCUAGGGGAGGUGAGAGCCUGACCCCCAC